CCUACCUUGAGGUGAGGAAUACCACCGAGAAAUCGGUGACAAUACCGCAUAUGCCUGGGCAACCAAGCAAAGUCUCGCAAGAGACGCCACAAGAUGGGCCUGCGCUUGAUUAGCUAGUUGGUGAGGUAAUGGCUCACCAAGGCCACGAUCAGUAGCUGGUCUGAGAGGAUGAUCAGCCACACUGGGAUUGAGAACGGCCCAG
rnacentral:rRNA from 1 species